UCUACUUCAUAAAUCCUUUUUCUUUUAUUUUCAAUUUGCUGUAACUGAACCAAGUUGUGGGUCUGUUCUCGGCUCGCUCAACGCUUCUCUCGACUCCGGUUUUCACCUCCGAUCUCCACCUCCACCUCUCUCUCAGUGGCGGGGCCAGUAAAAAAUAAACGAAAAAAACACACUGCCAGACGCGUGAAGGUGAGGAAGAGAGAUGAACGAUUUUGAAAUAAACACGCUGAAAGGAAGAGAGAGACUGAGGAAGAGAGAAAUUGAAAAACGAAACCCUAAGCUCGGCAGCGGAGGAACGACGACAGUCGACAGCACAUUCGCAUUCGCCGGAGACGAAGAUGACGAGCAGUGAGGAAGAGGAACGAAGUCACGAAUUUGAACUUCGAACGGAGUCAGGAGCGGUGAGGAAGAGACGAAGAGGAACGAAGCCACGAAGCGACGGAGUCAGGAGGCGAAGCGACGCCGCCACCCCACCGCCCACAUCCAUUCGCCGUCGCGGACCUCCCGAGACGCCCAGCACUCACUCAUUGUCACUCCAGUCAGUCCAUUGAGAGCAAGAAUUUUGUCCUCCGUGUUCUAUCUGGCCCGGCAAAUAAGGGAGAGAUAGAGAGAGAGGAAGAGGGGCAACUAUACACUAUGCUGCUGAAGGUGGAGUUCAAGGAAGUUCCUAUGCUUCUUUUUCAGUUUUGGUUUUGUUUAUAUGGGUGUUCAAUCACUCUUCAAUUUCAUGUUUUUGUUGUUUUCUUGACGUAGUUUUCAUCUUUUAUUUUUAAAGAUAUCCUUAUAUGAUAAGAUGAUGGUGACCAAUCUUUCUUUGGGUCGCCAGGUUGGCUGAUGUAUUUCUGGAGAAGAGCUAGAAAUCAUGGUGUGGAACCAGAUAUAGCAGAUGAGCGCGUGCACUUUUGGAUCUACCAUAGUGCACGAGCAAGUAACUCACAUGACGCAGUUGAUGUAGAUCAUAUUCCCUGAAGACCAUCUUUUGCAAAGAUUAUUUACUCCUUCACUAGCUAAGAAGCACGAAGAGCAUACAAAGUGGUGUCAAAUUUGUGAAGGGUAAUAUGAUUAAAAACCUAGAAGUUGGUUCUGAUGGAAGAGUGGCUGCAGUGAAACUUGAAAAUGGCUCUACCAUAGAAGCAGAUGUUUAGUAUAACAAUUGUUUCUGAUUCAUCAACAUCCGAAGCAACGCGAUCUCCGUGGCCGAAACGUUGACGUAGCUUGUGACUCCUCGCGUGAGGCGCGUCGUGACGGUGCUUGUUAGUGGCUUGUCCAUGCCCAUUAUGUCCAGGUAGCUUGUGACUCUGCGCCUGAGGCGCUUUGUGACGGUGCUUGCUAGUGGCUUGUACAUGCCCAUUAUGUCCAUUUUUGUGCUCAUUAUGUCCAUGUUUAGGGUGUGCAUACUGUGCAACAACAUGAGGUUGAUGCUUGUUAGCCUGUGGCUGCUCAUUUUUCUGCUCAUGCCAGAAGUGGACAUGAUGCUUCUUAUCAUUGUUUUGCCCAAUUUUUUGAUGUCUUGUUUGAUCAAUGUGACAACAAGCGUUACCAUAUUGAGCAGGCUUGCAUAUAUGCAUGGUAAAAGAGUUUUUUUCCUUUUUCUUUUGGGGGGGGGGAUGUGAAUUUCUUGCUGGUUUGCUACUAAAGAAGAACUUGAUAUGGUUUAUAUAGUAAUUAUCUGUUGGUGGGUAUUUUUCUUUUGCUUCCACUCUUACAUUUUUUAAAUUUGUUAUUCUAAAUUUGUUAUUCUAGAGAUGGGUUCCAUGGUACAUAUUCUUAUUUUUGGUUCGUUUAUAGUUUUCUUUAAAUUUAAAUUAAUGUUCUUUGUGACAUAGAGUUGAUUGAGAGAAUGGAAUAUUUGAUCAUAUCAACAUAAAGCUUCCAGUGUCUUCAUAUCGUAACAAUUGUUAAAUUGAGUUGCCCAUGAGUUUUUUGUUUUUCGGAAUAAUGAGAUAUUGAGGUAGGGAGCAUCGAAUUAGGCAACCAAUUGUUACUAUAUGAAUUUGAGAAUUCCCUUAGGAUACGGUUACUCCACUUGAUGGACUAUAUAUGAUCCAAAAUAAACUUAGGCCCUGUUUGACACUAGCGUUUGAGGUAGCGGUUUGAUAAGAUCAAAACGCUACUUAAGAAAAUUAUGAGUGCUUGGUAAGGUAGUGAUUGUAGUAGCGGGUAGCGGUUGGAGUAGAUUAUGAGUAGCCGUUGUGGAACAUUACUACACGAGUAACGUUUGAGAUUUAGAGCUAGCGGUCUAGCAAACAAACACUAUAUAAUAGCAUAUGGUAGAAUUAUUAACCAAUGUUUUUCUUUUUCCUUUUAUUGUUUAUAUAUUAAUUAUUUUAUUUUAUGGUAAUUCAAUGUUUAUUUUACAAUAGCAGAGAUGUAAUUUAAAUAUUUAGUUUAAAGAAAAUAUAUUUUUCAAGUAUUUUAGUAACAUUGGUAAUAUAAAUUUUUCGAGGGUCGAAUAUUUUCUUAGAUUUAUACAUUUCUUUGAGCAGCUAAAAAGUCGUAUAGUCCUUUUGUGUAACUUCUUUGAAAAAAUAAAUAUUGAAUUUAACUAUUAGACCUGAUAGUCCUGAUUACUACACCUAAUUAUGUUAUUUUAUCUUGUGUUUAAAUAUUAUUAACACUAAUUAUACCUUAUAAGCCUUGAAAUUUGUGGUUUUGAAUAUGAGCAGAAACACACUCUGAGUUGAUCUUGGAUGCAUGAAAUGUCUAACUUCGAAACAAACGAGCCGUUGAUUUCAUGGUUUUUUCUUUUAUUGUUUAUUAAUUGUUUUAUUUUAUGGUAAUUCAAUGUUUAUUUUACAAUAGCAGAGAUGUAAUUUAAAUAUUUAGUUUGAAGAUAAUAUAUUUUUCAAGUA